rnacentral:rRNA from 1 species
CGCGUAGGUGGCCAAUUAAGUCAAAUGUGAAAUCCCCGAGCUUAACUUGGGAAUUGCAUUCGAUACUGGUUGGCUAGAGUAUGGGAGAGGAUGGUAGAAUUCCAGGUGUAGCGGUGAAAUGCGUAGAGAUCUGGAGGAAUACCGAUGGCGAAGGCAGCCAUCUGGCCUAAUACUGACACUGAGGCACGAAAGUGUGGGGAUCAAACAGGAUUAGAUACCCGGGUA